rnacentral:rRNA from 1 species
UACGGAGGGUGCAAGCGUUAUCCGGAAUUACUGGGUUUAAAGGGUGCGUAGGCGGCUUGAUAAGUCAGAGGUGAAAGCCUAUCGCUUAACGGUUGAAUUGCCUUUGAUACUGUAAAGCUUGAAAGGGGUUGAGGUCAGCAGAAUGUGGCAUGUAGCGGUGAAAUGCAUAGAUUUGCCAUAGAACACCGAUUGCGAAGUAAGCUGGCUGGGCCUACUUUGACGCGGAGGCGCGAAAGCGUGGGGAGCGAACAGG